AUGAUGUAAUCAUAAAGCAUAGGCUUCUCCCCCGCACCACCACCACAAGGGGGGAGCCCCCAUUAAAGAAGCUUCAGAAGAAGUUCACCUCAUUUGUUGUUGAGAUUGAGAAAGAUGAAGAUAAUUAUAAUGACUGCUUGAGGCUUUCCAAAGCCUUCUUGCAGGAGCUUUCUACCUUUGAGAUUCCACUCCUCAAGAGCAAAGCAGUUAUUGAUUCAAACCGAAGAGAGAAGGAGAAUUUUAAUGAGUUGAUGGAUGAGAUAAAUAGUCAGAUUUCACAGGCACAAUCUGAUAUUGAAGAUUUGAAGAAGCAGCUUGAGGCUAGUAAAAUUGAAAGGCAGCACAAGGAAGAGUGUGAGGCGAUCAGAAAAUUGAUUGCUAUGCAGCCACCAAGGUCGGAGACACAGAAAAUUAUACAAGACUUAGAGAAAGAGAUUGCAGCAUUGGAGGCAGAGAACACAGCUGGUUCAAGGUUACUGGAGCUUCGUAAAAAACAGUUUGCUCUUUUGUUGCACGUGGUUGAUGAGUUGCAAAAUAAUAUAGAGGAAGAUCAGAAGAAUUUGAUGGAGGAGAUGAGAAUGGCAACGGAAGAACAGAAAAAUGGGAUGGAGGAUGCCAGUGGUGGCUCAGAAGCCAUGACUGUUGAUUAGUGACCUAUUUUGUCCAUCUUGCAAUUGGAGAGUGUAUUUUUUUUUUUUUUUAUAGAACAUUUUCAGUUUCAAUAUGUUUUCUUUGCCGGUCCAAAACGAGAAGUGUAGUUGCAUAUAAGAGUUUUCCCCUACUGUUGUUACAUAUUAGCAACAUAUUGAAACUGAAAAUGUUCUAUAGCUGUUGUUCCUGCUUAUUCCAUAUCAAGUUGUUGGAAUUAUGAACUUUGCUAAAAAUCUGUAACCACCUCAGCUCACCACAAAAUUCCCAGGUUUUCCUUUGAU
rnacentral:misc_RNA from 1 species